rnacentral:rRNA from 1 species
UACGUAGGGCGCGAGCGUUGUCCGGAAUUACUGGGCGUAAAGGGCGCGUAGGCGGCCUUCUAAGUCGGACGUGAAAUCCCCAGGCUUAACUUGGGAACUGCGUCCGAUACUGGAGGGCUUGAGUUCGGGAGAGGAAUGUGGAAUUCCAGGUGUAGCGGUGAAAUGCGUAGAUAUCUGGAGGAACACCGGUGGCGAAGGCGGCAUCCUGGACCGGCAUUGACGCUGAGGAGCGAAAGCCAGGGGAGCCAAAGC